rnacentral:rRNA from 1 species
GACGAACGCUGGCGGCGUGCUUAACACAUGCAAGUCGAACGGAAAGGCCCUGCUUUUGUGGGGUGCUCGAGUGGCGAACGGGUGAGUAACACGUUAGUAACCUGCCCUUUACUUUGGGAUAACUUCAGGAAACUGGGGCUAAUACCGGAUAUGAGCUCCUGCUGCAUGGUGGGGGUUGGAAAGUUUCGGCGGUUGGGGAUGGACUCGCGGCUUAUCAGCUUGUUGGUGGGGUAGUGGCUUACCAAGGCUUUGACGGGUAGCCGGCCUGAGAGGGUGACCGGCCACAUUGGGACUGAGAGACGGCCCAGACUCCUACGGGAGGCAGCAGUGGGGAAUAUUGCACAAUGGGCGGAAGCCUGAUGCAGCAACGCCGCGUGCGGGAUGACGGCCUUCGGGUUGUAAACCGCUUUCGCCUGUGACGAAGCGUGAGUAACGGUAAUGGGUAAAGAAGCACCGGCUAACUACGUG